UUUCUUCUGAAAUAUUAAAAAAAUCUUUGAAAGUAAGAGGUAAAAUUCAAAUUGGAAUUAAUAUCAUAAAUUUCAAUCAAUUUUUUGAAUACAGCUGACGUUUUAAUUUUCUGACUAUAAGUUAAAUCAUUUAAAUAUAUCUAUAAAAAUAAAAACAUUACUACUUCCAGUGUUCAAUGUCCAUCUAGUUGCCCAUGUCGAGAAAUGAUAUUUUGCUUCAGGAAUGUUAUGUCUAGAUUUUAUGUUUAGUUUUAGAGUAUAAACUUAUAUAUGUAUAAUUUAAGAGUAACGUAAACUAUCUGUAUUGAAGAAUGUUCCUUAUCUUCCACAUGCGACUGCUGUGAAUGGUGUGCUAAUUUGUGAGUGCCUCCAGAACCCCAAUUUGGAACAUGAAGAAAAGAAAGACAAUAGAUGCUCAGUAGUAAUGUGAAAUGAUACUUCAUUAUGCAAGAAUCCAUUACAUUCAUCAUAUUGGAGAGGAUUACGACGCAUCAUUUAAUUGGUUUUUCCCUUACUUAAGCACUUUUAACUACUUGAAGGCUCCUUGCACUCUGAAGGGUUGUCAGUCUCUGAAGUCAGCAGUGGCAUAGUGCACAAACUAUCAUGGCAUUUGGAUACAGGUGUCAUUUCUUCCAAAGACAGGGCCAGAGAUGUGAAGACUUUCCCUGGGGCUUGGUUGGCAUUGUGAUGAGAACUGAUAUUUAGGAUUAUAGAUUGUGCUGGAAUUCUGGAGUCUUGGAUCCCAAGAGCCAGAGAUGCCCAAGUGUUCUUUAGUGAAUUCUUUUUGCUAGGGCUGAGGUACCACCAGAGACUGAUUUUUGAAGGAUGGGUGUCAGCGUACCACUUUACAUUGUACCUGCCAGGGCUUUCCCUGUGGAUGCUCAGGUCUCAUGCUACUUCUCACCCACCAUGCCAGAUUCUCUCUUGAUUUACAAUGCUUUUCUCUGAAGGACUUGGCUGUCCCUCCCUGACAUCUGGUUUCCUCUUGGCUUUCCCAGCAGACAUAUUUCUAAUGUAUCUGAAAGUCAUUGUCAUAGUUCGAUUCCUUUCCCAUGGACAUGUGGCUGGAAAGUUUUUGCGUGUUCCUGACUAUCCUGUGACAGUGAUAGACUCUUUUUCCUAGGCUCUUAGGGAAGGUCCUAAGUACUUACAAGAGUGAUAUCUAAAUCCACUAUGUUGGUCCAACAUAAUGUCUGUUCCAGCCAGCAAAAGCAUCCUCUGACACUUGAUAUUACUGUCUUUGUAAAUAGUCUCUUCUCAACACCGGUGGUCUAAACAAUGACAAAAUAUAACAGAUAUUUAAUGUGCUUUGAAGAUAAGCAUGGUAUUGUUGAGAGAGCUCAAUUCCUCUAGUCUUUGGUUCUGCUAUCAGUCUUACUUCCUCAUUGGAGGUUGUCACCACCAAGCAGUAAAAAUAAAGACCAUUUCUCCUCCUUGGGCAACACCCUAGAGCUUCUAGUCUUUGGUCUGUCUGAGAAGGUCACUUUCCCCAGUUGUCUAUAGUGAGGCAGAACACAGCCCACAAAUAAUUUAUGAUAAAAGUAGCGAACUUAGGGGCUUAGAUUAUUUAUAGCUGAGAUCAAGCAAUUAACUUUCUAGGUUUCACUCAUCAGUUCUGUAUCUUUCAUUGGUUCUGAACUCUUUAAUUCUAGUUCUUCUUCAGUUACCGUCUUACUUCAGAAUGGCAGGUCAGUCAUUUUGACACAAGUACCGUCUUUUCAGUUCCUCCCUUGUGUUAAUUUCAUGUCCUCCUCUAGCUCUUCUUUCCUUUCACUUUCUCCAUCCUCAGUAUUGGAAUGUACGUAGUGGUUAAGGGCAAGCCUUGAAUCCUAGCUCCAUCACUUGCUAAAAUGUGACUUUGGAAAAUUACCCAAACUCUCUAAGUGUCAAUUGCCUCAUUUAUGAAAUGAGGAUUAUAAUGCCUACCUCAGAGGAUGGCAGGAAGGAUUAAGUGAGAUAAUUCAGGUAAAGCACCUGGCAGAGAUCCGACAUUUGAAAGAUAUCAGUCAAUGGUAUCUGAUAUUAUUGGUCAUCCCUUUGUCUUCAGGUUAUUUCACAGCUUUACCUAGACGUUACCUGGCUCAAUUGAAGGAGACAAAUUAAAGGGCAAUUUCAAAGCUAAACAAUAGAAACAACAGUUUUACAAUAACCUGAAGGAUAUUAUUUGAACACAGAAAAAUAGGGUGCCUCCUCAAAGCUAUAUUGUCUUAAGAAAGAAAGGGAUUCUUUUAUGCAUGUUACCAAACCUUAAUGAAAUAAAUACUGUUCUUCUCUACAGCUAUAUGUUUUGGGCACCAUUUCCAUUUCCAGUGAAUUUAAAGUUAAGUAAUUAAUGGAACCUUACCUGUACAUAGAACACUAACAAACAAAUCCCACUGAAGCCCUAAAAUGGAAAAAUUCAAGCCCAGGUCAUUUGGCCACUAUGCUCUCUUACUCCCCCUGCUCCCGGCCCCCAACUAUUAUUACGCUGGACACUAAAGCUGGGCAGGCGGUGUGAGGAACUUGCGCCGUUAACAUGUGGUUUCUGCAGUGCAAGAGCUCGUACUUUGGUCAUGAGGAAGCUCUACUUCAGGUCCUGCAUGCAGUUUGCUACCAAAACUAAAAAAAUAUAAAAGAAUCUGUGCAUUAAAGGAAAUAGAACUUGAGAUAAAUGAGAAGAAAAAAUAAAACAUCUGUUUAAAGCAUUUGAUGCCCAAAUGAGCAGAAAAAUGACCCCUUCCUAGGAUUGAAAUAAUUGAAACUCUUUUUUAACAUGUUAAUUGGCUUUCUUAGUUUGCUUCCUCUUCGGUUUACUUGGUGUUCCUGAAAAUUCUCAGGGCUUCCCUCCCUCGUGCCUUUAAUCUUGCUGUUCCCAGGCUGUAGUCCCCUCUCUCUACCUCUCCAGGAAUCCUAGGAAUUCAAGGUCUUGCUGGCAUUUCUGUUCCUCCUGAGAUCUCCUUUCCUCUUGCCUGCCUUUUCAUUACUCUCUGAAUUGUUUCAGUUAAAUUUUAAACUAUGUAGGUGCAAGGACCAUGUCUUGUAUUUUAAAAAUGCCAUAUCUCUUACAGUGCCUGGUUACAGUUCUGGGCACAUAGUAGAUCUAAACUGAAUACAUUUUAGCUGAUGGUUUGACGAACUUCCUUUUACUCAAUCAGAAAAAUAAGAAAAAUUUGCCAAGUCUUUUAUCCCUUUCAAAAUAUGAUUAAUGAGAUUUUGAGAAAAACCCUGUUUCUCAAGUUUUAAAGUUUCAUGUUAUUAUUGAUAUUAUUAUAUAUUAUUAUAAUUACAAUAUUAUGAAUAUUAUUCUCACUUUAAUGCAGGGCAGCUGAGGUAGUGUACUUUUGGGUGUACUUUCAUAUACAACAGGUAAGGUGUACAGAUGUCACUGAAAUCCAUCAGGAAGAGUAAAGGUGGUAGAAACAUCAAACUAGAAAAUAAGUUCAUAAAACAUAGUAGAGAUUUUGUCAUUACCCUGAAGAAUUGUCCCAAAUGUACUGGAUAACAGCCUCAAAUUCCCAUGACGCCAAACAAGUAGAGCUUCUGGAAAAUAAUUGCUUUUGGCUUGCUUGUUUUUCUUGAUUCAACAAAGAAAACAAGAUGUAAAUGGAUUGCAGUGUAGUGGCCAAAGGAAAAAGGAAAACCCCAAACCCAGAAGGCCGUGAGUGUGAGAUGACCUUCCAGUUAAUUUCUCCUUUUUAUCUGCUGCUGUUUGCGAUUCAGGAAACACAGCUCUUCAUGUUGUCUGCUAAACCUGCAGUAGCAUUUCUUUCCAUUUUUAAAAGUCCCUCAGCAGAUGCUAUCUUUUGGAAAACAAAACAAAACAAAACAAAACAGCACAGACCCACAGAUAACUCUCCCUCCCUGUACCAAAUCCAGGCAUACUCUUAAGUCAGAAAAGAGCAAUUCAUCUUUUUUAAAAUUUCUCUAUUUUCAAUGGUGGCUUUGAGUGUGUGCUUAUGUCUCUUAGAAUUUUCUUCUUUUAGGGAUUUACAUUAUGUUCUUUUUUUACAAAUCCAGAUUAGAUAAUUAGAUGUGGAGGGUUUCUACUAAUUACUGCAUAAAUCAUCACAGUGACUGCACAACAGAGGUUGUUGAUGGACGGGUUAUUGAAAAUGGAAGCCUCUAUCAUCAUUUUCUACUCUCUUGUCAGAAAUGACAUUUUUGUAUGAGGAGUCAGCCCUUCUUAUUGCUGUGCCUCAUCUACCCUGGCAAAGAGGAUUCUCCUUUGGUGAAAGAUGUAUUAUUUGGCCUACCUCCAACCUCCAAGCCUGAGCAGUAGUCUGUUGAUACUGUACACUUCCUACCAUUGCCACUGCCUGAAUACUACUCAUGUCAACUAAGAUGCUAAGAAAGGCCAGAGACCUCCAAACCAUAACGCCCCGCCAUCCUGAAGCUUCACCUGCGGCUCCUGAUGGUGACACUUCUUAAAACUUGGUCAAGCCUGUAGCUGGACAGUAGGACAACUUGCCUGACCUUCUAUUGACUCCAGUUAAGUAGCUCUCACAUUUGUGAUGGAGUGUCCCUGGGAUAGCAACAUGGAACUGAUGUUCCCCUCCUGGAAGGGCCUAUCUCAGAAUGUUGUCAUGCACUGAACUGUGUCCUCUCCCCACCUCCAUUCAUGUGCUGAAGCCCUAACCCCCAGGGUGACUGUAUUUUGAGAUAGGGCCUGUGAGGGAAUAAUAAAGGUUAAAUGAGGUCAUAGGGAUGGGGCCUUAAUCAAUAGGACUGGUGUCUUGAUGAGAAGAGGAAAAGACCCCAGAGAUCUCUCUCUCUGCAUAUGCACAGAGAAGAGGCCCUGUGAGAACACGGCAACAAGGUGGCCAUCUACAAGCCAGGAAGAGAGGUUUCAUCAGAAACCAACCCUCUCAGCACCACGACCUUGGACUUCUAACCUCCGGAACUGCGAGAGAAUAAAUUUCUGUUUUUUAAGCCA